rnacentral:rRNA from 1 species
GGAUUAGAUACCCUGGUAGUCCACGCCGUAAACGAUGAGUGCUAAGUGUUAGGGGGUUUCCGCCCCUUAGUGCUGCAGCUAACGCAUUAAGCACUCCGCCUGGGGAGUACGACCGCAAGGUUGAAACUCAAAGGAAUUGACGGGGGCCCGCACAAGCGGUGGAGCAUGUGGUUUAAUUCGAAGCAACGCGAAGAACCUUACCAGGUCUUGACAUCCUUUGACCACUCUGGAGACAGAGCUUUCCCUUCGGGGACAAAGUGACAGGUGGUGCAUGGUUGUCGUCAGCUCGUGUCGUGAGAUGUUGGGUUAAGUCCCGCAACGAGCGCAACCCUUGAUUUUAGUUGCCAGCAUUUAGUUGGGCACUCUAAAGUGACUGCCGGUGCAAGCCGGAGGAAGGUGGGGAUGACGUCAAAUCAUCAUGCCCCUUAUGACCUGGGCUACACACGUGCUACAAUGGAUAGUACAAAGGGUCGCGAAGCCGCGAGGUGGAGCUAAUCCCAUAAAACUAUUCUCAGUUCGGAUUGUAGGCUGCAACUCGCCUACAUGAAGCCGGAAUCGCUAGUAAUCGUGGAUCAGCAUGCCACGGUGAAUACGUUCCCGGGCCUUGUACACACCGCCCGUCACACCACGAGAGUUUGUAAC